GGCGUGCUUAACACAUGCAAGUCGAGCGAGGAAAUUGCUUCGGUAAUUUCCUAGCGGCGGACGGGUGAGUAACACGUGGGCAACCUGCCUGAUAGAGGGGGAUAGCCUCCCGAAAGGGAGAUUAAUACCGCAUAAAGUCAAAUGAAGGCAUCUUCAAAUGACCAAAGGAGUAAUCCACUAUCAGAUGGGCCCGCGGCGCAUUAGCUAGUUGGUGAGGUAACGGCUCACCAAGGCGACGAUGCGUAGCCGACCUGAGAGGGCGAUCGGCCACAUUGGGACUGAGACACGGCCCAGACUCCUACGGGAGGCAGCAGUGGGGAAUAUUGCACAAUGGGGGAAACCCUGAUGCAGCAACGCCGCGUGAGUGAUGAAGGCCUUCGGGUUGUAAAGCUCUGUCUUCAGGGACGAUAAUGACGGUACCUGAGGAGGAAGCCACGGCUAACUACGUGCCAGCAGCCGCGGUAAUACGUAGGUGGCAAGCGUUGUCCGGAUUUACUGGGCGUAAAGGGAGCGUAGGCGGAUACUUAAGUGGGAUGUGAAAUACCUGGGCUUAACUUGGGUGCUGCAUUCCAAACUGGGUGUCUAGAGUGUUGGAGAGGAAAGUGGAAUUCCUAGUGUAGCGGUGAAGUGCGUAGAGAUU
rnacentral:rRNA from 1 species